AAAGGAGCGUAGGCGGCUGAUUAAGUCAGCGGUGAAAGGUAGCAGCUUAACUGUUUUACAUGCCGUUGAUACUGGUUAGCUUGAGUUGACAGAAGGCAGAUAGAAUUCCUGGUGUAGCGGUGAAAUGCUUAGAUACCAGGAGGAAUACCGAUUGCGAAGGCAGUCUGCUGCAGUCACACUGACGCUGAGGCUCGAAGGUGCGGGGAUCAAACAGGAUUAGAUACCCCAGU
rnacentral:rRNA from 1 species